GCGGCAGGCUUACACAUGCAAGUCGAGCGGGCCUUUCGGGGUAGCGGCGGACGGGUGAGUAACGCGUGGGAACGUGCCCUCUGGUUCGGAAUAACUCAGGGAAACUUGAGCUAAUACCGGAUACGCCCUUUUGGGGAAAGGCUUGCUGCCGGAGGAUCGGCCCGCGUCUGAUUAGCUAGUUGGUGAGGUAACGGCUCACCAAGGCGACGAUCAGUAGCUGGUCUGAGAGGAUGAUCAGCCACACUGGGACUGAGACACGGCCCAGACUCCUACGGGAGGCAGCAGUGGGGAAUAUUGGACAAUGGGCGCAAGCCUGAUCCAGCCAUGCCGCGUGAGUGAUGAAGGCCUUAGGGUUGUAAAGCUCUUUUAUCCGGGACGAUAAUGACGGUACCGGAGGAAUAAGCCCCGGCUAACUUCGUGCCAGCAGCCGCGGUAAUA
rnacentral:rRNA from 1 species